AGCUGGGAAUUAAAAGAAAGUAACAGAUGUCAUUCAAAAGCCCAAGGCAUGAGGAAGGGCUGAAUCAUGCCCUGGCAGGAGGGGAGCUGUGGCACCAGGGAAUUCCUCAGCUUUGCACAUCAGCUGAAAGUGUGGGGGGCAAUGGAAACCCUACAAAUAACAAGAGGGAGAAUUGCCCAGGCAGCCCUGGGAGCCUGACCCUGCUGCAGGAGGAACAGGAGACACCAAGGGCAUGAGAGUCAGUGGCACGUGGAAGUGAGGGGCAGCAGGGCUGUGCGGGGACCACGGGACGAGGGGAGCAGGGGACAUCACGCAGGGCUGGAGCCGGAGAGUGGCCACUGCGUGGGGGACAGCAGAGCCCGCCAGAAAGGGGAAAACAGAAGGAUUUAUGAGCACAGCCAUGAUGAGAGCCAGUUAUCCGUGACCAUCCUAAAUCUUGUCAGAGACAGGAUGAAAGGGACCAUCUCCAGUGGACAGGCUGGAAGAUUUAACACCACCAUUCCACAGUGUAAUCACAAAAUGAGCCCCCCACGCUCGUGGGAAGGGGACUGCCUCCUGCCUGUGCUCCCAGGGCUGAGCCACACCUCAGAGAGCAGGGAGGGAGGUCAAACAACACCAGGGGCACUCCAAAGAGACCCAGCAUCUCUGCCACAGCCUGAGGAGGGUCAGGAUGCUGCCAGCCUCUGCAGCCCAGGCAGCCAAAGGCUCGGGUCAGCACAGCCACACACCCGUUCUCCCACAGUUUUAUUAAUGACACCGCAUUUCCAGCCCAGCUGCUGCACUGGGAAUUGUGCUUGGAAUUGGGACUGUUGCACUUCCCCUUGUCCCAGCCACAGGGAAGAGGACACAGCCCCACAGCAGCAUCCCAGGCGCUGAGAAGGUGCUACAGAACCUCUGCCCACUCCUCUGUGCCUGGGUGCGAGGGCUCAGUGGACACACACUGAGCUCUGCCUGCUCUCCACACGUGCCCUGCUCUCCAGCCCAGCCCUCAAGCCCUUGUACAGCUCUCAGGCCAGCAGAAAUGCCCAGUGGGUUGAGCUUUCACAGCGAGGGUUUGGGGAAUGGGAACUCGGGCAGCAGCAGAGUGAGCCCAGGGGCCUCUCCCCAAACCUGGGGAGACGGGUCACUGCCACCUCCCACGGGCAAGGAGGGCUCCAGCCAGGGACACGGGGGCACAGGGGACAGGAAGAGCAGUCACAGCCACUGAAGCCCCCAUGCCCACAGACAGAGGCCACAGGAGCUGCCUGCCUCCCCCUCUGCAACCAAGCAGCCUCAUCAUCUGUCCCCAAGAGAGAAAGCAAUCAGGUAAGCAACGUCUACAAGCCCAUAUGGACGGGCUGGGAUGCUGCCCAAGCUUCAGCUCAAAAAAAAGUGCACAUUUUCUGGUAUAAAUAUUUUGGUUUGCCUCCUCCUCGCCGGCCCACGGGCUCCAGCACAGGAAGCACAGCAGCAGCCCUGCUCAGAGUGUCUGGCAAGAGGCUGAUCCCCACAGUUACCAAAGUGUGCUGCAACAAAAGCCCACACACACUGACCCCGCUGCCCACAUGCCUCCCAGGCAUUGCCACGAAGGAGAGAGGCUUCUGGCAGAGUGGAGCCAGGCUUUCAGCCCCUGGAAGGUGCUGCUUCACAAAGGACCUCAGCAACUGCCACAUGUAGGACCAAGGAGAUGCCUUGUGACACCCUCCAGUUCCCAUGGAGCUCUUUGGUUCCUUUUGUUCCUGCCAUCUCCCAUGACAGAAAAGAGCUGAUUCCUUUCCUGUUGGCAGCCUAAAAUCAUGGAAUCACAUGAAUGGUUUGGAGCACCUGUGGCCAUGUCUCACCAGUGCUGGAAACAAGGAUCGAGCUGCCACAUUCCCAUGGAACAACAGUGAUUCAACCCAGCACUGGUGCUCCCUGGGAGAUGGUGACCAAAGCAGGAACAUGUGGGAGGACCCAAAAGGAGCCAAAAGUGAGUCCUGGAAUAGGAGGAAUGAGGCUGGAGGGAAGGUGCCAGCAGAGCUCCCUGCAGGGCAGGUAGGAAAGCCAAGAAAAGUAAAAUUAUUUGCCCAGGAUCACUCAUCAGAAGGCUCUGCACAUUCAGGAGGGUUCAAAAGGAGCAGAGAAGGGCACCUGAAUGAGCUGGUGAGUGGAGGACACAUGGUAUAAAAGCAUUGUAGAAGAACAGAGCUUGCUCAGCCUUGAUAAAGCAAACUGGCAGUGAUGUGAUUUUUUUUUUUUUUUUUUUUUUUUUUUUUUGUCUAUAAAUACACCUGGAGGCCAAACACCAGGGAGGAGGGGGGAAGCUAUUUAAGAUGAAGGACGAUAGUGGUACAUGAAAACAUCCAUAUUUAUGACUGAGGAAGUGAAAGAGCAAGUUAUGGGGAGAGAGAAGGGAGAAAUGAAUGACCUGAAGGGUAGGCAGAGGAGCUCCAGGCAGGGGCCGAGCAGGAGCUGCCUCUCCCAGGGGAGGAUUCCUGAAGGAUCUGCCUUGCGGAGCUCAGGGUGCUCACCCUUCCUGCAGGACUGGACAAGCUUUGGCACCAAGUGGCAGAAGGGAGGGGAAGCAGGAGCAGGGUUAUGGAGGAGAGGAAGAGAUGUUCAGUCCCAGCCUGAGCAGGGUGUUCAGGGAGCAGGGGGGAAGAAGCUGCCUGCCAAACUGCCCCUCAGCAUCAGCAGCAGGAAAACAGGUGCCUGGGCCCACAGGAGAAGCUGAUGCUUCAUCCUCUCAUCCCCCAGGGCUUUCCACACACACUUGGCAGGUGCUGGGAAGAGUCUUUAGGUCCCUGGGCCAGCAAGGAGUACAGAUCCCCCCAAAAUGUCACCAGCACAGCAGCCCCAGCACCCCCCUGUGCUCUGCUGUCCUCCUGGCUCAGAAGCAGAGCCAGACAUUGCUUUCUCACCCCCGCUUCUAGCAGCAAGCUGGGAUUUCCAUAACCAUUAAAAACAAGCCUUUGUUAUUAGCCCUGUGAAUUAUUUAUCCUGUCAUAAUUAAUGCAGGAGCGUUAAGGGCCGUGGCAGAGCUCCCCAGCUCGCCUGUCAGCAAACACCACUCCAGCCCUGCUCACCACUCGGGCAUUAAAUAUGCAUUGGGGCUGAUAAAUGGCUCCAGCACGCUGAUCACUGCCAGGCUGUCAAACAAAGUGCCCUGGGCAUGGACCCUUCCCUGGGGAAGGGCUGUGCUGUGAUGAACUGGAGAUGGCAGGGGAGGGGGGCAGCUCCCAGGGGGCACAGGACUCAUCCCCCCCUCGCAGCUCUUCCCAUCCCCUGCUCUUACCACCGAGCAGAGACACCUUCCUGGGGGUGGUAUCUGAGCCAUCCUCAGAUAAAUCACCCCCCUCAGGCUCUGCAUUCAUGUCUGGCCCGCUCUGUUUUCGUGUCAGGUUUGGGGAGGAUGAACCCCUCCGAGUCCUCCUUGCUGUUCAGAGAUGCCAGCUGGGCUGCAGGGCUCCAGGGACCCUGACCCCAGAGGGAGAUGCCCACUCUGCCUGAGCCUCCCAGGCCAGGAAGGGAAGGUGUGGACUCCUCUACCAUGAGUGGCUUCACAGGUUUUCAUCAAAUGCCUGCAAAGAAGGAGGGAGGUGGGGAGUAGCUUGCCUAAUUAAUAAAACAAGAAGAAAUCAA